rnacentral:rRNA from 1 species
UACGUAGGGUGCUAGCGUUGUCCGGAUUUAUUGGGCGUAAAGAGCUUGUAGGUGGCUCGUUGCGUCGGGAGUGAAAACCUGCGGCUUAACCGCAGGCCUGCUUCCGAUACGGGCGAGCUAGAGUUCGGCAGGGGAGACUGGAAUUCCUGGUGUAGCGGUGGAAUGCGCAGAUAUCAGGAGGAACACCGGUGGCGAAGGCGGGUCUCUGGGCCGAUACUGACACUGAGAAGCGAAAGCGUGGGGAGCGAACAGG